UUCGUGGUCGGUGGUACAGGUGGUGCAUGGCUGUCGUCAGCUCGUGUCGUGAGAUGUUGGGUUAAGUCCCGCAACGAGCGCAACCCUUGUCUUAUGUUGCCAGCACGUGAUGGUGGGGACUCGUAAGAGACUGCCGGGGUCAACUCGGAGGAAGGUGGGGACGACGUCAAGUCAUCAUGCCCCUUAUGUCCAGGGCUUCACACAUGCUACAAUGGCCAGUACAGAGGGCUGCGAGACCGUGAGGUGGAGCGAAUCCCUUAAAGCUGGUCUCAGUUCGGAUCGGGGUCUGCAACUCGACCCCGUGAAGUCGGAGUCGCUAGUAAUCGCAGAUCAGCAACGCUGCGGUGAAUACGUUCCCGGGCCUU
rnacentral:rRNA from 1 species